UACGUAGGGGGCAAGCGUUGUCCGGAAUCAUUGGGCGUAAAGCGCGUGUAGGCGGUUCGAUUAGUCUGCUGUGAAAGUCGGGGGCUCAACCCUCGAAUGCCGGUGGAUACUGUCGGGCUAGAGUGCGGAAGAGGCGAGUGGAAUUCCUGGUGUAGCGGUGAAAUGCGCAGAUAUCAGGAGGAACACCGGUGGCGAAGGCGGUCUCUGGGCAUGUCCUGACGUGAGGAGCGAA
rnacentral:rRNA from 1 species